AGGAUGAACGCUGGCGGCGUGCUUAACACAUGCAAGUCGAACGAUGAAGGCUGGAGCUUGCUCUGGCUGGAUUAGUGGCGAACGGGUGAGUAACACGUGAGUAACCCGCCCUGACUCUGGGAUAAGCGCUGGAAACGGCGUCUAAUACCGGAUACGAGCUUCCACCGCAUGGUGAGGAGCUGGAAAG
rnacentral:rRNA from 1 species